GCGCUUAAUGAUGAAGGCUUUCGGGUCGUAAAAUUCCGUUGUUAGGGAAGAACAAGUGCUAGUUGAAUAAGCUGGCACCUUGACGGUACCUAACCAGAAAGCCACGGCUAACUACGUGGCAGCAGCCGCGGUAAUACGUAGGUGGCAAGCGUUAUCCGGAAUUAUUGUGCGUAAAGCGCGCGCAGGUGGUUUCUUAAGUCUGAUGUGAAAGCCCACGGCUCAACCGUGGAGGGUCAUUGGAAACUGGGAGACUUGAGUGCAGAAGAGGAAAGUGGAAUUCCAUGUGUAGCGGUGAAAUGCGUAGAGAUAUGGAGGAACACCAGUGGCGAAGGCGACUCUCUGGUCUGUAACUGACACUGAGGCGCGAAAGCGUGGGGAGCAAACACCCCAGGCGGAUUAGAUACCCUGGUAGUCCACGCCGUAAACGAUGAGUGCUAAGUGUUAGAGGGUUUCCGCCCUUUAGUGCUGAAGUUAACGCAUUAAGCACUCCUGCCUGGGGAGUACGGCCGCAAGGCUGAAACUCAGUUAAGGAAUUGACGGGCGCCCGCACAAGCGGUGGAGCAUGUGGUUUCUACGCAAUUCGAAGCAACGCGAAGAACCUUACCAGGUCUUGACAUCCUCUGAAAACCCUAGAGAUAGCUUCUCCUUCGGGAGCAGAGUGACAGGUGGUGCAUGGUUGUCGUCAGCUCGUGUCGUGAGAUGUUGGGUUAAGUCCCGCAACGAGCGCAACCCUUGAUCUUAGUUGCCAUCGCUGCAUUAAGUUGGGCACUCUAAGGUGACUGCCGGUGACAAACCGGAGGAAGGUGGGGAUGACGUCAAAUCAUCAUGCCCCUUAUGACCUGGGCUACACACGUGCUACAAUGGUACGGUACAAAGAGCUGCAAGACCGCGAGGUGGAGCUAAUCUCAUAAAACCGUUCUCAGUUCGGAUUGUAGGCUGCAACUGCCGCCUACAUGAAGCUGGAAUCGCUAGUAAUCGCGGAUCAGCAUGCCGCGGUGAAUACGUUCCCGGGCCUUGUACACACCGCCCGUCACACCACGAGAGUUUGUAACACCCGAAGUCGGUGGGGUAACCUUUUUGGAGCCAGUUGCCUAUUGGUCAGACAACAUGACUUGGGUCAAUUCGUCAGUGACAACGAGAGUUGUCCU
rnacentral:rRNA from 1 species